rnacentral:rRNA from 1 species
GAUGAACGCUGGCGGCGUGCCUAAUACAUGCAAGUCGAGCGAACGGACGAGAAGCUUGCUUCUCUGAUGUUAGCGGCGGACGGGUGAGUAACACGUGGAUAACCUACCUAUAAGACUGGGAUAACUUCGGGAAACCGUAGCUAAUACCGGAUAAUAUUUUGAACCGCAUGGUUCAAAAGUGAAAGACGGUCUUGCUGUCACUUAUAGAUGGAUCCGCGCUGCAUUAGCUAGUUGGUAAGGUAACGGCUUACCAAGGCAACGAUGCAUAGCCGACCUGAGAGGGUGAUCGGCCACACUGGAACUGAGAAACGGUCCAGACUCCUACGGGAGGCAGCAGUAGGGAAUCUUCCGCAAUGGGCGAAAGCCUGACGGAGCAACGCCGCGUGAGUGAUGAAGGUCUUCGGAUCGGAAAACUCUGUUAUUAGGGAAGAACAUAUGUGUAAGUAACUGUGCACAUCUUGACGGUACCUAAUCAGAAAGCCACGGCUAACUACGUG